UACAGAGGGUGCAAACGUUAAUCGGAAUUACUGGGCGUAAAGCGCGCGUAGGUGGUUUGUUAAGUUGGAUGUGAAAUCCCCGGGCUCAACCUGGGAACUGCAUUCAAAACUGACAAGCUAGAGUAUGGUAGAGGGUGGUGGAAUUUCCUGUGUAGCGGUGAAAUGCGUAGAUAUAGGAAGGAACACCAGUGGCGAAGGCGACCACCUGGACUGAUACUGACACUGAGGUGCGAAAGCGUGGGGAGCAAACAGG
rnacentral:rRNA from 1 species